CAACUACUCCCUCCAUCCCAAAAUUCUUGUCUUAGAUUUGUCUAGAUACGGAUGUAUCUAAUACUAAAACGUAACUAGAUACAUCCGUAUUUAGACAAAUUUAAGGCAAGAAUUUUAGGACGGAGGGAGUAUAAC
rnacentral:pre_miRNA from 1 species